GUGCUUGCUUCGGCAGCACAUAUACUAAAACUGGAACGAUACAGAGAAGAUCAGCAUGGCCCCUGUGCAAGGAUGACAUUUGAAAGUUUACAAAGUGCUUUU